rnacentral:piRNA from 1 species
AACGAGAAGACACUCAUGUAGGAGUC